rnacentral:lncRNA from 1 species
ACUCCCUCCGGGGCACCCCGGUCCCUGCAGAGUCCCUGGCCGGCGCCGCCUCCGCUGCGGCCCCCUGAAUCCCGAGCCUGCCUCGCCCAAGCUGGUAGGACAGAAGGACAGACAGAUUCCUCUAGCCUAGCGCUCCGCCGCUGCUGCCUUACGCGGCCCCGCGUCGGGAGAACUGGGAUCGCCCCAAGAGCACCGCGAGGGGUCAUCUCAGGCUGGCUGCAUGCCUCAGCUGAAGAUCCCAGCUCCUGUCAAUGCCACCUCUCUGCUUGACUGUCUCCUUCCAGAUUCGAGCAGGUAUGAGCUGGGAAGAAUGAAGGCAGGGCAUGCCCGUGUGCCAGCUCUGCACAGCUGGAUAGCUGAGGAAAGAUGUGGAGGAGAAGCCGGGGAUUGUGUGGAAGUCUAAGGGUGUUGUUUGCCCUUUGGGUUCCAGAAGAUGCAUGCCAGGACCCUGGGUGGCACUGCCAGGAAGCAACAGAGAGGAGAUAAAACUCACAGCAGACAGACUUGCCUUAACAACAACUCCCUUGAAUUAAAACACGCUUUUCAAGAAAACAAAUUAUCAGUUCGAUCAGCAAACAGCAGAGAAGUUUCUCUCAUAAUGGCAAAGAAGGGCCGGGUUGCUGACCAGUGAAAGAGCUUCAGAAAAGGAGAGGGGAGAUGAGAUGGCCAGAAGGAGCAAGAGCACCGUACAUCCCUGGACAACCUCAUUCUAAUGGGUCAGGGGCUGGGACGUGCAUUUUGGAGUGCAGGAGAAGUGGCAACUCACAAAUGCUAGAUUUUCUUCUAGAGAUGACCAAGCUGUAGUUCUUAAAGCAGUGGCACUAGGGCAGAAAACUCUCACACUUUGAUGUGCACACACAGCCCCUGGGGAUCUUGUUGACAUGUAGAUUCUGAUUCCGUAAGUCGGGCUGAGAUUCUGCAUUUCCAACAAGCUCCUAGAUGAGGUCCAUUUUGCUGGUCCAUGAAACACACUUAGAAUAAGUAGCAAGGUAUAGGAGGAUACUGACUUUGCUCAGUGAUGCUUGGGCUUCCGUCCAAACUAAAAUAAAACAAAAGCAGACAUAAAUGGCCCAAUUCAACAGCCUGAGAAGUUUGGUGAUAAUGACCCAAGCCCUGGCCUGGUGACCAAGUGGCUGCUCAGAGAGCUCUAUCUCCAAACUCCUUCCCUUCCUGCCUCCCCUCCAAGAGUGAGUAAUGUGCCAGAGUUCAUUGGGGUCUGCUGUCCCCAGGGAAAGGUGGCCCAGUUGCCAAGUGCAAGUGUAUAGAACGGCUUACCUGUGCAAAGCUAUCAGCCCUGGACCUAUGGGCCUAGAAACAUUACUUGCCACUCACUCACUCACUAUCAUUCAUUCAUUUCUGCAACAAACACUUCCUGAGCAUAUGCUAUACACCAGGCCCUGAGCUCAGCUCUGGGGAUACAGGAUGAAUGGCAGAUUGUGCCAUCAGGAAGCCGACUGCACAGUCAGCCCGCUGGAGCACAUAUGAAAAACAAUACGGAUGUUUUGAUUUAUUAUCAUAUUGAUCAUUAUGAUGGUAGCGUAUACUUUUGGAAGGCUUGCCAUACAUUAGGCAUUGUGCUAAGCACAUUAUAUGGUUAAUCUCAUCAAUCUUCACAACCUAUGUGGCAGGUACUAUUAUUAAACCCACUUCAAAGAGGAGGGAACUGAACCUCAGAGAGGGUAAGUGACUUGCACAAGGACACAAGCUAGUGAGGAGAGGAACUGAGAGGAAUGGCCAGACAGGCCAUCAGCCUCUGUCCCCACAUGCUGGGUCUGAGUGUCUGACGGUGGACACAUUCCCUUCCUGGAGGGAGAGCUCCUAGGGAGCUGAUGGCAGCACUGAGUCUGGAAUGUGAUGGGAGUGCAUUAGAUGACGUGGGUGAUCUGAUGAGUACAGAGGCGUCACACUGCAAUGACUUCAUGCACAUAUCUCCCCUUGAAUGCACAGAGAUUCAGCAGAGGCCAGGAGCUCAAGUUUCUGGCCCAGUGUCCCCCUCUUCCCCUGGGGAAAGCCAGGGACACACUGCCUGGCUUUGCUACACCUUUCUAGGCAAAGGCAGUAUGCUCUCCCUCUCCUUGGCCUCCCUGGCUGUCCACACAUCCACACCCACUCACACACACAUGCACAUGAUCAUACACAUUACACAAGCCCACAUGCCCACAGACAUGCUCACACUCACACUCACAUGCAUACACUGCCAUACACAACACACAUACAUACAUUCACACACACUUGCACACACACACACACACACAGUUCUGAUGGCCAAUCUUUUGGGGCUAUGUUGACACUGUGAAGCAGGUGAAACAAAGUCUUUGCCACUCCCUGCUUUGGGCCUAUUAUGUUUGUUUUAUAGUUUAACUCUCAAAAGACAACUUUAUUUUCCAAAAUUAUUCAGGUUCCCAGCCAGGUGCAGUGGCUCACACCUGUAAUCCCAGUACUUUGGGAGGCCAAGGCGGGCAGAUCACCUGAGGUCAGGAGUUUGAGACCAGCUUGGCCAACAUGGUGAAACCCAGUCUCUACUAAAAAUACAAAAAUUAGCCAGACAUGGUGGCACACACAUGUAAUCCCAGCUAUUCGGGAGGCUGAGGCAGGAGAAUCGCUUGAACCCGGGAGGCGGAGGUUGCAGUGGGCCAAGAUCGUGCCACUGCACUCCAGCCUGGGCAACAGAGCAAGACUCCAUCUCAAAAAACAAAAACAAAAUCAUUCAGGUUCUGUAGGGGACCCUCACUGUGUCCUGGAUUCCAUUCCACUUUUAAAGUCCCAAACAGCUUGUAUGGCCACUUCCCUUGACACCCAAACCAGAUAGGAGUCUUAAAUGACACAGAGUAUUGAUGGUUUCUUUAAAAGGAAAUCCACUCUCAAUGGGAAGCUGGAUAACUUCGCAUCCAGAUUUCAUCCAUCUUGGGCUUUGGUGGCUGCUGUUUGUUUUUGUGCAGGAGAAUCUCUCCCAGCCAACGUCGAUUUCACUAACACAGUGGUUAACCUUUGCUCUCUACUCCUGCAUCAAUCUUCCGCCUACCGCAUGUUGAGCCAUGCUGCUUUCUGGCAUUCCUUUUGGAUUUUCAGUUUACUACCCAACUACCAGUCCUAAUAACAUCAGAUAAAAGGGCUUCCGCUGUGCUGCACUUGUUUUCAAAAACUAUAAAUGCCAUCGACCCAGAGUUAAGUCCAGCCUCAGAGAGACAGAAUAUAAAUACCCAAGUGGCCCUGGGCCACUGAGUUCCUCAGACAUUAUGUGCUAUGGGAGUUCCAGAAAGGGGGAUUGCCUGGUUUUGAGUGCAGAAGGCUUCCUGGAGGAGGCGAGAUUUCUGAUGGGCCUCUGUUAUGAGCUAAAUUGAGUCCACCCCAAAAUUCAGAUGUUCAAAUCCUAACCUGUAGUACCUAAGCAUGUGGCCUUAUUUGGAAGCAGAAGCAUAACAGAGGUAAUUCGUUAAGAUGAGGUCACAGUGGAAGAGGGUGGACCCCAAUCUGAUACAACUCGUGUCCUUAUAAAAAGCAGAAAUUUGAAGACAGACACACAAGAAGAUGAAGGCAGAGACCUGGCUGAUGCGGCUAUAAGCCAAGGAACGCCAAAGAUUGCCAGCAAAGCACCAGCAGCCAGGGAGAGGCCUCGAACAAAUUCUCCCUCCCAGCAAAAAGGAGGAAGGAAGGAACCUCCAAAAGAAGCAGGCCAGGCACAGUGGCUCACGCCUGUAAUCCCAGUACUUUGGGAGGUUAAGGCAGGCGGAUCACCUGAGAUCAAGAGUUCAAGACCAGCCUGGCCAACAUGGUGAAACCUCAUCUCUACAGAAAAAUACAAAAAUUAGUCAGGUGUAGUGGCGUGCACCUGUAGUCCCAGUUACUCGGGAGGCUGAGGCAAGAGAAUCGCUUGAACCUGGGAGGUGGAGGUUGCAGUGAGCCAAGAUCGUGCCAUUGCACUCCAGCCUGGGUGACAGAGCGAGACUCCAUCUCAGAAAAACAAAAAAGAACCCUACUGACACCUGGAUUUCAGACUUCCAGCCUCCAGAACUGUGAGAUGUUACAUUUCUGUCAUUUAAACACCCAGUUUGUAGUACUUUGUUGCAACAGCUCUAGUGAGCUAAUACAGCCUUGUAGGACAGGUAGGAAUUUGUAAUGCACAGAGAAAGCCAACUGGCCACAGUUGUUGAAAAUAAUAGAAUCGAAGCGCCCCUAUCACUACCACCCCAGGCCAUCACUUUCAAAGCUGUUCAAAAUGAUGCAGCCGCGUGAGAAGGCCGGAAGGCCAGGGCGGGAGAUGGGCUCCAGGUGGGCCCAGGCUGCCUGCAGAACCAGCUUGCCUCACUGCCUGGUUGCCAAGGAGCACCUGUGGCUAGGAGGAGAUGCCCAGGAAGAAAAUUUGGCCACAUCCCUGCCUGCCUCCCUGGCAAUGGGUGAUGCUCUCUGCCAGCUGGCCCAGCUCCCCCACCACAUACCUGGCUAGGAGUCAGUAGGAAAACAGUGUGUGUUUGUAGGGCUCUGCACUGAAGGGCAUUAGAUCCAUGCAAAGGCUAAUAAAUUAGAGAUAAGUGGGAUUUGUAGAUUUGCUGGAGGUUAGAGCUGCAGGGUCUGGCAUCAGCUCUGGGUCUUUUCCAUGGCCCCAGGCUGGCUCAGGUGUGAGCUGAAGAGGCAAAACUGUCUGUUUAGGUUGCAUUGGGUUCCCCUGAAAGAUCUGUUGAAGUCCUAACCUCGGGUACCUCUGUUUGUGCUAUUUGCAAACAGGCUCUUUGCAGAUGUAAUCAAGGAAAGAUGAGGCAACGCUGAUUUAGUCAGGCCUUAAUCCAGUGACUGGUGUCUUCAUAAGACAAGGAAAUCUGGACACAGACACACAAAGAGGAAAAAGCCAAAGACACAGAGACACAUGUACACAGGGAGAACUCCAUGGGACAACGCAGGCACAGAUCGGAGUGACGCGGCUGCAAGCCAAGGAGCGCCAAGAUUGCCAGCAACCCCCUGGGGCUGCAAGAGGUGAGAAGGAGCCUUCGGAGGGAACAUGCACUGCUGAUUCCUUGAUUCCAGAUUUCUGACCUCCAGAAGCAUGGGAGAACAGAUUUCCCUUGUUUGAAGGCACCCAGUCUGUGGUCCUUCAUCAUGGCAGCCCUCAGGAAUGGAUACAGGCCCUUCCCUGCCUGCCUGGUGGAGCAGCCUCCAAGGGGAGCCUUUGCUAGCAGGAAGAGGCAUCGCAUGGAGCUCAGACCCGCCUCAGAGGAACUUCUCUCAGCCUCCUCUCUCCGCACACCCGACCAAGGUGUGAAAUCCCUCCCCUUUACCUCUGCCACUUGCAGGUGGCAGGAUGCUGGAGCUGUCCCUGCCUCUUUGUAAAGUGAGGGAAGGGCAGCCCUCUCUGCUCUUUUUUUUUUU